rnacentral:lncRNA from 1 species
AAAAAUGUAAUAUAGUUUAAAAAAAUGAGUUUUCUUUAUUAGUUUGGCUGAAUACUAUGAAUUAUUGACAAAUGACUGAGCACAUUUGAAGUAAAUUCUCACAAACAGAUAAAAAAUGAAUACUCUUUUAGAAAAAUGUGCCCCAGGUGCUUCGACUUUUAUAUUACCUUUUCAGGCACCUAAACUAAGCAAGAAGAGUUCAAGCAAAGCUCUGUUCUAAGCUUCCACACCGGGCAUUUUACUCAAGUGAAAUGGUAUUUGGAAUCAGUUCUUUCAUCUGUUUUUUGCUGGAUUAUGUCUAGAUACUAAAUCCCAUGUACUCUUUUCCUAGAGAGAGGAUCUGGCUAGGUUAACCUCAAGUUCAGCAUGUUCCUGCUCCAGUUUCCACAGUUCUGGAAGUGCAGGUGUCCGCCACCAUCUGGCUUAUAUCCCAUGCAUUUUAAGUGUGCUGUGUAUAGCAUGUGGAGCUCACAGCCUGGUUUCAGGUACUUACUUCCACUGUCUUCACUCCCCCGACCCGCUGAGACAGGGUCUCUUACUAAAUUUGGAGCUAGACUGGCUAGACUGGCUGGUUAUCCAGCACUGGAACUCUCUUAUCUUACCUCUGCCUCCCGGUGUUUAGGCACGCACUGUCUAUCGACCAUUCGAUGUGGGCGCUAGGGAUCUGAACUCAAGUCAUCUUGUUAGUGGCAGCAACCACUAUGCUUAUUAAGUCAUAUCCUCGGUCCCCGCCAAUGUAUUUCUUUCUUUUUAUAAAAAAAAUUUAUUAAUGUAUAUGAGUCACUGUAGCUGUCUUUAGUCACAUCAGACACAUCCAUGUGCAUAUACACCCAUAUAAACAAAAACACUCAUAAAAUCUUAAAAAACAAAAAAAAAACCUUCCCAUUUUGAAGUAAUUUUGUAAUUCACUUUUUUUUUCACUAGCUGAUUUAUUGAGUUGUCAAUAAAAGGCCAAUCAGCACUGAAACUCUUGGGGAUUCAUUGAAUGUUUCUACGGUUUGGAACUUGCUAGAAGCUGAGACGGUACACACAGAUAUUUAUAAUCUCUCCUCCAGGAAGCCUGGCAAGCACGGCAUCUGUGCAAGUUUCAAUAAUGGAGGAUAAUUUAGGAUAAUUUCUCACUGCACAUACAUAAAAUACAGUUACAUUGAAUUCUGAAGUGAAGUAUUUAUAGGACAUAU